GGGGGCGAUUGGCUUCGACGGGUGGUAGACGGUGUUUGUUGCGUGCCGAGGUGUCGUGUCCUCGUAAAACCCGCGGCAAGGCAAUCACAAUUGCCGACACUGAACUAGCUCUCGCUGCUUAAAUAGACAGCGAGCGUUC
rnacentral:tmRNA from 1 species